rnacentral:rRNA from 1 species
GACGAUGCGUAGCCGACUUGAGAGGGUGAUCGGCCACACUGGGACUGAGACACGGCCCAGACUCCUACGGGAGGCAGCAGUAGGGAAUCUUCCGCAAUGGACGAAAGUCUGACGGAGCAACGCCGCGUGAGUGAUGAAGGUUUUCGGAUCGUAAAACUCUGUUGUUAGGGAAGAACAAGUAUCGUUCGAAUAGGGCGGUACCUUGACGGUACCUAACCAGAAAGCCACGGCUAACUACGUGCCAGCAGCCGCGGUAAUACGUAGGUGGCAAGCGUUGUCCGGAAUUAUUGGGCGUAAAGCGCGCGCAGGCGGUUUCUUAAGUCUGAUGUGAAAGCCCACGGCUCAACCGUGGAGGGUCAUUGGAAACUGGGAGACUUGAGUGCAGAAGAGAAGAGCGGAAUUCCACGUGUAGCGGUGAAAUGCGUAGAGAUGUGGAGGAACACCAGUGGCGAAGGCGGCUCUUUGGUCUGUAACUGACGCUGAGGCGCGAAAGCGUGGGGAGCGAACAGGAUUAGAUACCCUGGUAGUCCACGCCGUAAACGAUGAGUGCUAAGUGUUAGAGGGUUUCCGCCCUU